rnacentral:tRNA from 1 species
GCCUGGGUGACUCAGUCGGUUAAGUGUCUGACUUCAACUCAGGUCAUGAUCUCACAGUUCGCGAGUUUGAGCCCCGCGUCAGGCU